UAGUCCUAGCCGUAAACGAUGAGCACUAGCUAGAGGUCCUCCUGUGGGAUCUCUGGCGAAGCAAAUGUAAUAAGUGCUCCGCCUGGGGAGUAUGGUCGCAAGGCUAAAACUCAAAGGAAUUGACGGGGGCUCACACAAGCGGUGGAGCAUGUGGUUUAAUUCGAUGCAACGCGAAGAACCUUACCCAGCCUUGACAUCUAGGGAUAACUCUUGUGAAAGCAGGGGGAUUGCCUUCGGGUGUAACCUAGACAGGUGUUGCAUGGCUGUCGUCAGCUCGUGUCGUGAGAUGUUGGGUUAAGUCCCGCAACGAGCGCAACCCUUGUCUUAAGUUGCCAUCAUUUAGUUGGGCACUCUAGAGAAACUGCCGGUGACAAACCGGAGGAAGGUAAGGAUGACGUCAAGUCAGCAUGCCCCUUACGCUCUGGGCUACACACGUGCUACAAUGGUCGUGACAAAGAGUUGCUAGUCUGCGAAGGCAAGCCAAUCUCAUAAACGC
rnacentral:rRNA from 1 species